AUGCAAGUCGAACGGUAACAGGUCUUCGGAUGCUGACGAGUGGCGNACGGGUGAGNAAUACAUCGNAACGUGCCCGAUCGUGGGGGAUAACGAGGCGAAAGCUUUGCUAAUACCGCAUACGAUCUACGGAUGAAAGCGGGGGAUCUUUGGACCUCGCGCGGACGGAGCGGCCGAUGGCAGAUUAGGUAGUUGGUGGGAUAAAAGCUUACCAAGCCGACGAUCUGUAGCUGGUCUGAGAGGAUGAUCAGCCACACUGGGACUGAGACACGGCCCAGACUCCUACGGGAGGCAGCAGUGGGGAAUUUUGGACAAUGGGCGAAAGCCUGAUCCAGCCAUGCCGCGUGCAGGAUGAAGGCCUUCGGGUUGUAAACUGCUUUUGUACGGAACGAAAAGCCUCUUUCUAAUAAAGAGGGGUCAUGACGGUACCGUAAGAAUAAGCACCGGNUAACUACNUGCCAGCAGCCGCGGUAAUACGUAGGGUGCAAGC
rnacentral:rRNA from 1 species